AGCAGCCGCGGUAAUUCCAGCUCCAAUAGCGUAUAUUAAAGUUGUUGCAGUUAAAAGCUCGUAGUUGAAUUUCGGGAUCAAUUUGCUGGUCGUGCCUCUGGUACGUACUGGUAUUAUUGGUUUCUCCCUUCUGACGAACCAUGAUGUCAUUAAUUUGAUGUCGUGGAGAAUCAGGACUGUUACUUUGAAAAAUUAGAGUGUUUAAAGCAGGCAUUAGCUUGAAUACAUUAGCAUGGAAUAAUGAAAUAGGACGUUUGAUCCUAUUUUGUUGGUUUCUAGGAUUAACGUAAUGAUUAAUAGGGAUAGUUGGGGGCAUUAGUAUUCAAUUGUCAGAGGUGAAAUUCUUGGAUUUAUUGAAGACUAACUACUGCGAAAGCAUUUGCCAAGGAUGUUUUCAUUAAUCAAGAACGAAAGUUAGGGGAUCGAAGACGAUCAGAUACCGUCGUAGUCUUAACCAUAAACUAUGCCGA
rnacentral:misc_RNA from 1 species